CCACGUACUGCGACAGCGGCCCGGGUACAUGACGCGCAGAUCCAGGUGGCCGCGGCAGCGCGCGGCGCGCAACUCGCACUCAUCACGGUCCAGCUCCCUGGGAUCCUGGGUGUCCACGGUUUAUGACAGUGACAUCAGCGUGAGCCUUGGAAGUGUGGAAAUUGAAGGUCCCUGUAGCCACACAGCACAGCCCCGGCUCUGCACAUACAGGAACUUAUACCAGCAAAUGCCAUGCCCAGACCCUUUUCUCCACCUGAGCUGCCCAGCCUGACCUAUGUCCCUCAGCCAGUGACCAACGGCCAUGUCACUGGCCAGUGGCACUGAGGGAAGAUGCCCAGCUGUUUCAACGUGACCUUGGCCUCUGACAGUCUGAGGGGAUUCUCCCCUGGUUAGGGAAUGGGGCAAUGAUGGGACUCUGUGUUCUCACCAAGGGUGUGCGGGGGCUGGACAGUGCAACCUUGGCCGAGAUCUGACCCUGCUGUGGCUUGGACACCCAGCCUGGGCUGUGCAAAUCAAAAGGUUAUUGUCGGCCUGAUGUAGGUUGUAAACAGAGGCCAGCUGCCAGCAGCUUCCUGCUCCCUAGCCUGGUGUGUCUUCCCAAUGCAGAGCCUGUGUGCUGAGUGACCUCAGGUAAGUCACUGGCACUUACUGGGGAGCCCCCUCCUCCCCUUUGCAGUCUCUUCCAUUCAUGCCCUCCUCUUCACCUUGACCCAGCCUCGGCCUCAUACCCUGCAUCCCAUUACCUUCCUCAGCUGCCAUAGGCUUCUCCCCAACUCAAACACCCACCAUGAUUCCCCCGUGGCCCCUGCUCACCACCCCAGGCUUCUCUCUGCCCCAGACCCCACAGGUAAACAGGCAGUGACAAUGCAGUGUGAUCACAGCUGUGAUGGAGAAUGCCCCAAGGCUAUACCUGACCCAGCCUGAGGGGAACUGAGGAAGACUUCUCAGGGGAGCAAGACAUUUAAAUUGAGACUUGGAAGUUGGACUGAAUGGUGGGGAGAGGGAGCAGGGGGUCGGUGUAUGAACAGAAGUACAGUAAUGGGAUGUUUGUUCUACAAGUAAAAGAAAGCCCAGCUCAAAGGUGGUCGGUCCCCUGAGAUGACUGGUCUUAAUCCCUGGGCUCUGUGAAUAUGUCACCAUCGAUGGAAUCUUUGCAUCUCGGAUUGAGUUAAGGAAUUUCCGAUGGGAAGAUGAUCCUGGAUUACCUGGUGGGCCCAGUGUCAUCCCAGAAUCCUUAAAAGCAGAGACGUCUCUCUCUAUGGUUAGAGAGAUGCUACAUGAGAAGGACGUUACCCACCAUCACUGGCUGUGAUGAUGGAGGAAGGGACCGCAAGCCAAGGAAUGUGGGUGACCUCUGGAAACUGGAAAAGGCCAGGAACAGAUUCUCCCCUUGAGCCUCUGGAAAGGAAUGCUGCUCUGCCGAUACCUUGAUUUUCACUUGGUGAGACCCAUGUUGGACUCCUGAUCUCCAGAACUAGAAGAGAAAGAUUUAGUUGUUUUACACCAGCAAGCUGGUGGUGAUUUGUUACAGCAGCCAUAGGCCACUAAUACAAGCGGGCACUGCCCAAUGGGUUUAGUGUGUUGCCACAGCGAUCCAGUCUCUGCCAGGCUAGAAACAAACCAGGGUGUGAACACAGGUUGUGAAGGCAGGUGGCAGUACAGAGACCCUGGGAGCAGGAAGGUUGUGGGGUCUCCAAAGGUGACCCUGAGGCCUGGAGGGAGAAGGAGGUGUCUGUGGAAGCCCAGUGGCUGUGCCACAUUGGCCAGACCACGAGUGCCCUCUGUGUGCCUCUGUUUUUUCAUCUGUGAAAUGGGCAUAGAUUCCAGUACUGCAGAUUCCAGCCAAGACAGCAGGGACAGUGCCUCGGGCACAGUGAGGGCAUGACAUGUGUGCAUGGAUUCUUAUCAACCGAUGAGUGUUUGGCUAGGGCAGUUGCGUGAUGAGUCUUCUUUGCCACGCACCACUAUACUGUGAUGCAGGCACCUCCUUUACAGAGGCUGGAGAAAAGGAAGUCACUUUCUGGGGGUCACGAAGUCCCACAGCAUUGGGACUGGAGUCACACCAGGUAGGCAAGAUUCUGGGACCUGUGUGUGGAGCUGAGGGGCAGGGCCCUUCUCUCUCUGGACUGGACAAUGUGGACUGGCCCCUUGGUCGUAGCUGGCAACCUCCCUCCUGGCCCCAGCAUGCUCCAGGCAGAGGGGAAGUCCUCUGCAAAGGGGCAAAGGUGGGGAGAGCUGGGGAUCUAUAAUCACAGUUGCCAUUUACAGAGCAGCCUCCCUGGGAGUCCUCUGGGUGCGGGUGAGAGGCCCAUUUUACAGAUGGAAGACUGUGGCUCAGAGGGCUCUCUGUCCUUGUCCCACAGUGUCUGAAGGGGAAGGCACAACCAUGUUGUGGGUAUGGCCUUGGCCUGGCAAUAUGAGGAGGCACAUAGCUCUGCUUCUGCCCUGGGUCUGAGGGAGAAGACACAGCUUUGGCCUGAGUCUGAGGGAGGAGGCAUGGCCCUGCCCUCGGUCUGACCGGGGAGGCACCGCUGUACUCUAGGUCUGAGUAGGGAGGCAUGGGCCUGCCCUGGGUCUGAGGAAGGAAUCAUUGACCUGCCCAGGGUCUGAGGAAGGAGGCAUGGACUGCCCUGGAUCUGAUGGGGGAGGCACAGCCCUACCCUGGGUCUGAGGGGAGAGGUAUGGCCCUGCCCUGGGUAAUCUUAAGGGGGAGAUAUGGCCUUUGUUCUGAGGGUCUGUAGGGGCCAGGCCCCACUCAACCUCCACUUUCAAAGCCUUUCCAAGGAAAUUUCCCUGGGAAACUAUUGAAACCUGUGUCUUGCGGUGCCUGGCAGUCGAAGAGCCUCUCAAGUCUGUCCCAUAAGUGGCAGCAACAAGGUGGCCACAGGUCACAAAUGGAUGCUGGAGGCCUCAGAAACUCAGGGCCGCUGGGCUACGUGCAUGACCAAAUAUGAGCCUCAGUCUUCUUGUCAUAAAACGGGGUCAUAAUUGUCCCACCGCAUCGCAUGGUGCUUGUGUGAGGAUUAAACUUCAGGCCUGGCACCUCCUGAGCUUGUCAUUUUGAAACAUACGUAACUGUGUGUUCUCGUUCCCACCGCAUUCCCAGAGCCCUGCCUGGGCCAGACACACAGCAGGCACUCACUAAAUGUUGUUAUUCGAGACUAUCGAACACCUACUGUAUGCUGGGUGUUGGCCUCACUUAUUGGGAGACAUCAUUGAUAACUCCUGGAUUAUAGGAUGGCUGUGGGGAAAGAAAUCAGGGUGCUAAGCAAUGGGGUGAAGUGGGGGAUAGGGCUCCCCUAGGAAGGGGUCGGGCAACCUGAGAAGCAGGGAAAGAGAAGAGAUAGUGGGAGGGGCACUCCCAACAGAGAGCAUGGUCAGGCAAAGGCUCUGAGGUGGGAUCCAGCUUGGCCCACCCCAGGGGGCCAGUGAAGCUAGGUUGAGGAGGUGUGAGUGAGGGACAGAUGACCUUAGGGCAGGCACUAGAGCCCACUAAGGGACUGGGCAACAGAGGCCUGAAGCAAAGGACCGACC